GUUUUUUAGAAAUAAAUUUAAUUUAUGAAUUUUUAAUUUAUUUAUUAAUUUUUAAAUAAAUAAAUUUAUUAAUUCAAUUAUUUUAAGGGAUAAGCUUUAAAAUAAAUUAUUAUAAAUAAAAUAAUUUUAAAGUUAAAAAUAUAUGCUUAGAAUUAGCAAUUAUUAUUAAUUUUGUUAAAAAUUAUUUAUUAAAAUAGUAAUAUUUAUUUAUAUUUUAAUUUUUUAUAAAAAUUUUUAUAAAAAUUUUAAUUAUAAAUUAAUAAUGAUAAAAUUAGUAUAUAUUUAAAUGUAAAAAUAAUUUUUAUUGAAAAUUUUAUAUAAAGAACUCGGCAAAUAUUUUACUCGCCUGUUUAACAAAAACAUGUCUUUUUGAGUUAAUUUUAAAGUCUAACCUGCCCAAUGAAAUUUUUAAUGGCCGCAGUAAAUUAACUGUGCAAAGGUAGCAUAAUCAUUAGUCUUUUAAUUGAGG
rnacentral:rRNA from 1 species